GAACAUCGUUGUUGGGUAUUGGUUUUACAUGUUGAGUCUGCUUCGAGUUUUACCAAGAAGUUUUUUUCUUGAAGAGUAAUGAUGAAGCUUUCUUUUGGUAUUGUCGUUAAGAGUUCUUUUUUUUUUUGUCAGGUACUUGUCUUUGCAACAAACACCUACUUGGUUAAUCCUUAACCUCGUUGUUUUUUAGUUAUAUGACACUAAGAUGAGUUAAACAUAGCCGGGGCAAGUCAGUGGUUUCAAAGUCAGCUAGCAGUCACAUUCUUAUGGGUUAGGGACGUCAGGGAUCCCGGAUCCGUCCCAAUUUGUUCCCAGAGCUGUCGAAAACUUCCCAGUACACGAUUGUGCCAGGCUUAUCUUCCAUCAGAACACACAUAUGAACUCCUCCAUCCUCCCGGUCAACUUUCUAACGGCGUUGAGUUCCUCGCUCCUGAGGAAUGUCUUCCAUCGCCGGCAGACCUGAGAAAGGACAAGAAAGUGUGAGCACGGGCAAUCGUGAUAGGCAGAGCGCCGCUACGUCGUCCGUCAACCCGGGUAUGAUCCACGACUCCUCCUCCUCUUCCAUUUUUCUUGUUCUUCACGACUUGGAUUAUUAGCUCAUUGCAUCUCAUUUAUUAUGUUCAUAAAUUAAUGCUUUAUCAAAAAAUAAAAAAAAUUUCAUAAGUUAAUGUAUUUAAAUAAAAAAGAGGAAGCGUAUUCAAGUGUUGUAACGUGGAUCAUGACACUUGGAUUACAUUGACCCAGUGUUAUCUUGUUAAACUGAUUAUAUUCAACUGUUUACUUUUCAAAGAUGACGACUGUGGGAUUGGUAAUAUUGACGCCAUCGGCAACAUGGGAAUAUUAAAUACUAGUAUUGUGAUCCAUGCUAUACAUGGACAUACUAGUGUUAAUACUAUAGCGUUCUAAAUUUGAAAUAUUUGUAUGACUUUGGAUCAAAUUUUGAUUAGAAUGGUAAUAAUACUACUGAACAAAAAUUAAUAUAUCUGAAUAGUUAUGAAUAAAAAUAAGAAGAUAGACCUAUUACUAGAAAGUCACAACCUUGAUUCAUGUGUGAUUUUUUAAAAAAUGGACCUAAUGGACCUAUUACUAGAAAUUCAUUUUACAUCUUUCACAUUAAUUUUGGACUAUCUAUUAGGAAUUUAUCACAUUUAAUUCAUGUCCACAUCUUAAUAUUUACUCUUCCUAAACACACGAUUAACUUACCCAAACCAUAUACUUUCAAAACCUAAACCUCUCUGCAAACGAAACAUGAAAUGAAUGCUUGAGGUUUAUUUCAUAGUAUAUCUCCAUACGAAACUGGAAAGGAAUUGUUGCUACGUAGUUAGAUGCAGUCAUAUACAUCAAUCAAAAGUAGCAGAAAUUAAUUGACCACCAUGAUAUUACGCUAUCAAAUGCUUUUGUGUGAGAAUUCACACACAACAUUCCAACAAUAGAUUUUAAAUUGACAAUCGAAUAAGCUUAUAUUGUUUAAAAUGAAAAUAUUAGUUAAAUGAACAUGUUUCUUCCAUUAUCUGUUACGUUAUUUGAUUGUUAGUCUUGAACAUGAACAUUUGUUCAUAAUCUUAUUACUUAAUAACCUAAACACAGUGAGCAUUUGGAGAAGAUGAACAUGGUAUACCUGCACGUUUUCAAGUUUAAGAUAUGAUAAUUGGUUAAUUCAUGUAAAUUAAAUUAAUAAUUAAUUGUGCUCUAAAUUCGUGGAAAACCCAUUAACUAAACAAUCUUUUUCAUACAUUUAAAAUUAGAAUAAUUAUAUGCCAAGAAUAUGGUCGAUGUCCAAUAAAGGAUCAUUCCUUGGACAACAUAACAAGUUUUUCAAAACUAAGAUUCUGUUAAAAUAAUAACCGGGAUUUGCCAAAUGAGAGAUUAUAUCGAAUCAACUAAUUUUCACAAUAUCAUAUUACUGGUAACAUUUAAAAAAGGAUAUUCUAACCAUAUUGUGUGUGUUUCCUAAAACUUUGCUAUGAAAUAUCCAAACAACUACCAAGAAUAUCCUCUAAUAUAUCACAUAAUUUAUAUCUACGAUAUAACUAACCAUAACAACCGAUUUAAAAUUUUCUACAAUUAAUUUUAUUCCUAAAGUCACAGUAUAUUCUCCGUAAAUACCCUAACAAACCUAGCGAUCUAUAUAUAUAUCGAUUGCACUACAUUUAACCUCAACCAUCACCUAAACUAAAACAGUUUGAGCAAUGUCUAUGAUUCAAGCAUUUUCGUUACUAAAAGACGUCAAGCCUUACAAACAGGGCGAGUCCAAGUUAAGUUGCUUCACUCCUGGAGGCAGAAAACCAAUUAUGGAGGAGAUACCCUUGAGAUGAUAUUCGCAGAUGAAACUGUAAGAUUCCUUUUAUACGUUGUAUGUUCUGUUUUAGUUUUUGUUUAUGUACUUUAUGAACUAAAUAACUAUGUCUAUGUACUAAUUUUUAUGAUCUAUUUUGUUUCAGGGUGUUAAGAUACACUACUCGGCCAGAAAGACUCUCAUAAAAAAACAGAUAGUAAAAUACGGCUUGGUGAAUGGCGACUCAUAGACACAUUUACAGUGUCUCACGCAAGAGGACAGUACCGUCCCACAGACCAUACUUACAAAAUGUCUAUCAUCGAAGACACCUCUAUAGACCAAAGUACUUUUGAGUGUGAUGAUGUGUUCCUGAAUUUUCCUCCUUUUGACAAUAUUGGAAAUAGAACUCUUAAUACUCACUUCCUGAUCGGUUAGUCAGUCAAUGAGAAUUUUGUAACAUAAUAUAUGUAUAUUGUACUAAUAUUAAGCAAUUAAUUAUUUGACAGAUGUAGUUGGUCAAGUAUCCAGUCUGCGUGACAUCCAAACUGUCCAAGUUGCUGGGAAUGAUAAGAUUUGUGUUGAAGCUGUUUUCAACGUAUUUAUGGAUUUGUGUUGUUUUUGAUAUAACUUUUCAUUGGUCUAUUUAUUUUCUAGAUUUUAAAACUAUAGCAACGAAAUAAAAAUCAUUAAACCAAGAUAUACAACAUGCAAUCAACUCACAGCCAAACCAAUUAAUCUGUUGUACAUCAUUUCUUAUCUAACCAAACCAUUUAGAUAUACUAGGAAACGAUAAAUGGUUCUAAUCUAACAAAAUUUCCCAUCUUAUACUAACCAAACCACUUAGAUAUACUAGCAAAUGAUAAAUGGUUCUAAAAAACUAACCUGACUUAUCGAAUAGUGAGAGUCAAAUGGCUGAGUUAUGCUGGAGUCUUUUUUAGAAUCCAUUGUUAUCAAUAUCAUUCCUGAGAAAAAGAAAUAUUGUCUACAAUUAAAUAAAAUUUAAUAUAAGAUUUGACUAAUUAAUUAAUCUUAGUUGUUAAUCUAUUGUCUUACUAAUUAAUCAAUAAGAUAAUGAAAAAAUAUUUUGUGGUUUACCUGAUGUUUUCAUGAAUUGAGUGACAAGUAGCAUGAUUUUGCCAGCACUCGGUGAUUUCCAUUAAACAUUCGUCAGUUACCCGAUCCUGCAAAACUUUCCUGCAACAAAAGAGACCAAGUAAAUGUUUUUUACCAAGCUCAGAUUAUCCCAGCUUGAUGGCGAUAGUUACCAUAGUAUAAUGAUCCUUGGCUUUCCUUGGAGCCUCUUUACGAUCUUCCUCACAAUUGUUCUUCCAUGUCAGGCAGGCUGCGAGACAGUUUGUAUAAUUUAUCCGUUAGCUUGACGAAAUCAAUCGGCUGCGCAUAAAAUGUUGAAUUAGUAAGACUCACUCUGUUGUGCAGAUCGAGAAAUUAAUAUAUACACUGAGAGAAUAUCAUUACUCAUGAUCAUUCAACAGUUCCUCUGCACGCCUAAACCAUGUACGAGACUUUCCAGUGGGUAAUAUCUGGAGCCCUGUUUCUUGAUCUCAAGAUCAUUCUACAGAUCCUCUGCACUAGAAGGACUUUGCAGUAUCUUCCAUUUCCGUCAUCUUCAAGAUGAUUCUCUGCAGAGUGAACAAAACAGAGCUUAGGAAUAUGAAACAAUCGUAAAUAAUAUAUAUCUUCAUUAGCUUGAGAUUAUCCUACGAUCAAGCUCCAAAACAGAUCAAUAUCAACUUAGUAUAUUAAAGUACCUGUCUCUUUUGUCAACGUCUCUGUUAUUCCUCUACCCCGAACACAAAUUAGAUUCCAAGACUUUUAGGGAACAGAUUUUAUAUUUCAGGAACUAAGCUUGAUCACCCAAUAACUGAGGUUCGUUGUUGCUUCUCCAAUUAAAGCUAUACGCCGAUCUGUAUGAUUUAGAUAUAAACUAUCAAAUAUCGAUUCAACAUAUCAAAACCCUAAAAUCAUCUAAAAUAGUAAUCGGUUGUUAGAAAAAUUUAAAAUAAUCUCCAAACCUUUGUAGAUAAGCGUUAGUUAGUGAUGAUCUUCAAAAACUUCUUCCAUUUAGAUUCAAGUGAAAACUUAUCUGUAUCUAUGUUUAACGAUUUGGUGAGGAAGUUAAAAACGAUGUCUGAGAUCAGCUUGGUUCUUAACGAAGCUAAAGACGCGUGUAUGUUCACAAAAAGUUUGUUUUGUUCCCGGAAAAAAAUAGGUAACUGAAAUCUAAUGGACUCAUUAAUUGGAUUAUAGACUAUUGUGGCCCAUAUUACAAUCAUUAUUUAAUCUCUCUUUUGAUUGUUUUUUUUUAAUUAAAAAAGAUAAGUUAUUAAAAAUUCUAGAAUAACAUGGUUUUAACGUUUUUUUAAGAUAUAUCUAUAAGUCAUUUAAAAUAUAUGUCAAUGUUAUUUGUUAAGUUUUUGAAAAAAUAAUGGAUUUGUCAAAAAAAAAACAAAUUUAAUUAAUUAAUCUUAUAAUUAUAAUAUAAGAGAUAUAAGUUUUAUUUUGUUUGACUCUAGAUUUUUGUGAAAUGCUUCAAUAUCUUUGGAAAAAAAUAAUUUUAUAUUUUACCAAACAAGAUUUCAAAAAUUCAUGAGUUUAAUAAUCAAACACUAAUUCAACAAACAAAAUAUAUAAAAGAAAAUACAAAUACAUAGCUCAUUUUUUAAAUGAUUAAUUUGAUGAAUAACCGGAAAAUUGAAUCACAAACGUAUGUUUGAAAAAUCUAUAUACACAUUUGAAUAUACAUCAUUCUUGACAUAAAAAUAAAAUGUCUAUGUAAAUAAAAAUGAAAAUUAAUACCUGCGCGGUUGCGCGGGUCCAAAUCUAGUUUAAAUCUAAGAAACAAGUAAACACAAACAUUUCUUAUCACAAUUAGUAUUGAACAAAUCUAUAUAUAUAAAAUAGACAUUUCUCUCUUCUUAUGACAUGUAGAAGAGAAGUUUGUUGACAUGUGUCCUCUUUUUACAUUUUAAAUCUUUCUUCUUUUAGAUUAUUGCAAUUUGGCUCACUAUUUUCUAAUUAUACACUAUCUAAUCCUUUUCACACUAACCAUCAUCAUUUGAAGUUUGAUAAUCUAUUUUAUUGUUCAAAAAAUUGCAAAACGAAAAUAAAGAAAUAAGUAAAAAAAUAUAAAUGUAUUUUAAAUAUUUAAUUUAUUCACAGCUAAAAUAAUAUAAACUUUCGUUAUUUUAUUAUUUUAAACUAUUUUCUAUUAUUUCAUUUACAACUAUAUUUUUAUCUUAAUAUUAACCAAACUAAAGCAAAAUACAUAAUCUAAACAUAAAACCUCCAUAAUCACAGAGAAAAAAAAUGUCAAAGUAACACUAACUCAAUAAAGAUCCAGAACCCAAACAAUAAGAAAAAAUCCAAACCAAACUAAACAAAAAUUUAAACAUAUAUCAGAUGCAUCAUAUUCGCCUGCAGCCAGCAACACGGAAAGCUGUACCAGUGGAGUCAAAAAUGAGUAAGGCAGAAGAGACGCAUAGUAAUUUAUAAAUUAUAAUGGACAUAUGUUAGAUGGUCUAUGUCUUGACCUUCUUUAACAAAAAUAAUGUUUGAACAUCGUUGUUGGGUAUUGGUUUUACAUGUUGAGUCUGCUUCGAGUUUUACCAAGAAGUUUUUUUCUUGAAGAGUAAUGAUGAAGCUUUCUUUUGGUAUUGUCGUUAAGAGUUCUUUUUUUUUUUGUCAGGUACUUGGUCUUUGCAACAAACACCUACUUGGUUAAUCCUUAACCUCGUUGUUUUUUAGUUAUAUGACACUAAGAUGAGUUAAACAUAGCCGGGGCAAGUCAGUGGUUUCAAAGUCAGCUAGCAGUCACAUUCUUAUGGGUUAGGGA
rnacentral:lncRNA from 1 species